CAGCAAAGUCUGAUCAGUAAAACAGUAUUUCCCUAUGUACAGGUUUUAUGGUGUUUUGGAAAGUUACAAAGUUAAAUAUAGGGCCUCCAAAUUAAAUUCUCUGGACUUCCUGUCUGGAUUGUCAGGCAUGUGUCUCAAAUUGCAAUUAGCAAAAUCACAUAAUGAUGUGAAAAUAUGACAUAAAUAUGCACAUAUACUAUAAAUAUAUAUACAUAUCUAACAUGGGCUUGGCACUCACAUUCCUG